rnacentral:lncRNA from 1 species
CCAGGUGCCAAUCUUUAAAAAAAUUAAUUAAAUUAAGUAGACACGAUUGCUUUCCAAAAGAAGUGAUAUAAUUCACUAUCAAUGAAUCUUUAUGGUGCUCCCUUCCCUUUACAGGGACUGGAGGGGAAAGAAAAGAGAAAAUUUCAGUCUCUACAGUUCUUUGGUACCACUGAAAUGUGAGGCAGGAGUAGGUGAUUCGGGCUGAGUAGACACAUUGCAGGGCCCAUGGGGAGGAGAGCAUGGAGUAGAAAGGUGGAGAUGGAGGGCUCGGCCUGAUUACAAGAAAAGAAGGCUCCCUCACUGCUGUAAGGUGCCCCGCAAUCUGUCCAGUGCCUAGUCAUUCUUCAUGCUUCAUUUCAUCCCUCACUUUCAAUAAUUCUGGGGGUAAAGGGUCUGUGUUCCACAGCUUGGGCAAUGUGACAAAGGAACACUGCAUACGGAACAGCAAGAUGCAGCCAGAGUGAAAGGAGAGAAUGUCCUGACAAAGAGCAUGAAGAAAUCCUGGAAGUAGUAAGACGAAGGGGUAAACACAGUCCCUGAAGUCAGACGGUGCUGCAGCUCUGCACGCCCCUCUGCAGGGCCAGAUGGAUUAACCGUGCUAAUGCAAAGAGCCUUACACACACAGUCAAUAAAUGAGGGUCUACCUUCCCUUCUCCAACACCAGAAACCAAUUGUGAUAAUCAGGUCCCACCUGAUUAUCCAGCAGCUUCUGGAACUGAAAAAUAAUAAUGGUGGUUAAAAAGUUUUUUCUGUUUUUAAAUAAGUGUGCAUGAAUAGCAAUAUAAAAAAUGGAAAAACCUAGCUUGGAGACUUGUUUAUUCUGGUUGGGCACUAGUCUUUUGCUGAUUACACUGUAAAUUGAGAAUGGGUAAAUGUUUCACCAUGGACACAGCUGUAUAUGCUGAAUAUAGAUUUCCCAAUAUGUGAGUUUCCAUUGGAGUUCACAGUUCUGAACUUCAUGCCUGAGAGGGCAGCCCACCAACAUGUCAUGCCAUUUGUGAGUUCACUUUUUAAGGCUCAGUUUAAAAGGUGGAAAAUGAAGUUUAGAAGCUAAGAGAAUAAAGACUUAAAGAGCAAGAAAGCCGUAGCUGUGGCCCCAGAUUAUUCUGAUGUAAUAAACUGACGUUUUUCGAAUUUGUAAUUUAUCCUCUUCUUUGCUCUCCACUGACAAGAAAAUUAUUUCCAUAGGAAAACUUUAAAAUAUCGGUUCUUCAUUUGCAUAGUAAUUAGAUAGACUGUAAUGACUAAACUGUAAACUUCUUGGAAGCAAAGGAAAAUACUAGGUUUUCAAACAUGAGGAAAUGGAAAUAAUAGUGAUUUUGAGUAUCUACUUUGUGCCAGGUACUCUGCUAGGUAAUUUGGAAUGUCCAUUUCUGAGCCUUGCCAUAAUUUUGCAUGGUAAGUGUUAUUAACCUAUUUCACAGAUGAAUGGCACAGAGUUUGGUCAACUCACCCAAGAUCACAUGGGUGGUAGAGAAUGGAAUCUGCCACUGUAGGCCUUGCCAACUGCACUGUGCUGUCUUCCUUACAAGAGGCAACAGAAAUACAAUUAGAUUUUGAGUCAGAAGGUGGGGUUUAGGGCCCAGGUCUUUCCUUGUAAGUGUUGAGAGUUUAAUCAAGACAUACCAUUUGCUGGGCUUGAAUUUCCUCGUCUAUAAAAUGAGAAUGUGAGCACCCACCUCACAGCGAACACCUGUGAUCUGUGCAAGUGACUUUUAAGCUGCCAAAAGCCUGCAAAGGAGAAGUGUUUGAGUGGUGACAAUGCUCCCCUUUGCUGCAGUGAGCCCGUCUCCCACCCGCUCUCCGGAUUGGCAUGAGUCAUCAUUGGACACUGGAUGUCAAAGUCAAUGCCAGCCCACGCAGCAGCAUGAAAAUAUGAGUUAUUAACAUUCUUAGGACCUUUGCAAAGCUCAAGCACUAAAUGAACUAGUUCUUAUAAAUUUAGAUUUUCUAAGGUGACUGGUAUAGCCUUUCGGAGUUUCAGAAGCCCAGAGAAUAUCUUCAGACUUGAGUUUAGGAAACGAACACCUUUGAGGAUCUAGGGCAAAGUCUUUUACAGAAUAUACUCCACUAGAUCUGUGAGGAGCCAUAGAGACGACGAAGAGUUCAACCUUAGUUUUGCAGAUGAGGAAAGCGGGAUCUAGACACACACCUAAUUAGUAGCACAGUUAGGACUAGAACUCAGCUGUCCUGGCUCUGAGUUUGUGCUUUCUCCACUGCAUUAGUUGCUCUUAUAAAUUCAUUCACACUCAGAGGAAUGACAUCGAUAACAAAGUUAAUGACAA